rnacentral:rRNA from 1 species
UACGUAGGGUGCGAGCGUUGUCCGGAAUUAUUGGGCGUAAAGAGCUCGUAGGUGGUUUGCCACGUCUGCUGUGAAAUCCCAAGGCUUAACCUUGGGCUUGCAGUGGAAACUGUCCGACUAGAGGACGGUAGAGGGGGGUGGAAUUCCCGGUGUAGUGGUGAAAUGCGUAGAGAUCGGGAGGAACACCGGUGGCGAAGGCGGCGAUCUGGGUCGAUACUGACGCUGAGGUGCGAAAGCGUGGGGAGCAAACAGG